rnacentral:rRNA from 1 species
GAUGAACGCGGCGGCGUGCUUAACACAUGCAAGUCGAACGAUGAAGCCCAGCUUGCUGGGCGGAUUAGUGGCGAACGGGUGAGUAACACGUGAGUAACCUGCCCUUGACUCUGGGAUAAGCCCGGGAAACUGGGUCUAAUACCGGAUAGGAGCGCCUGUCGCAUGACGGGUGCUGGAAAGAUCUUUCGGUCAUGGAUGGACUCGCGGCCUAUCAGCUUGUUGGUGAGGUAACGGCUCACCAAGGCGACGACGGGUAGCCGGCCUGAGAGGGUGACCGGCCACACUGGGACUGAGACACGGCCCAGACUCCUACGGGAGGCAGCAGUGGGGAAUAUUGCACAAUGGGCGAAAGCCUGAUGCAGCGACGCCGCGUGAGGGAUGACGGCCUUCGGGUUGUAAACCUCUUUCAGUAGAGAAGAAGCGAAAGUGACGUACCUGCAGAAGAGCCCCG